UAUCAAUAUCUCUACGUGUGAUUCGGUGAGACCUAAAAUUUCUCCAAAUUCUUUUCUUUCUAGAAACAAAGGUAAAAAGAUUUGAUUGAAUAUAUAUAUUUUCAUUUUUAUUCAGCAUUUGGGUUGAUGAACUAAACCAGAUAGUUAUAUGAGUGAAAGAAAACGGCUUCUAAAUUUGCAGUAAAAAGGUUGAGUCUCAUUUCCUAUGUACAAGAAUCAAAUGGUGAAAAAAGUAAACAUAAGCAAUAGAGAUUGUUUACCCCAAGAUUGGUGAAUUGUCAUGAUAGCUUGAAGCGGGUUCAAAAGAUCAACUGUAUGGAGUUUUUACUGUCUAUUACCAUAGAUGGAUUUCCACAACGGGAGGUUGAAAGCAAAAAUGAGUGGAUGGUUAGGAAGACCAAGAUACACAAAGGAUUAGUAAUUGAGAUUAUGUAAGUUAUCCAAGAGGAUAUUUCUGUACAUAAAAGGAAUUCGAAUUGGGGCUUUACGUUCGUAGAAAUGAUCAAGAAGUACUCCCCAUGAUUCUGAUCCAGAGUAUGUUCCUAUCCACUGAGUAAGUAAAUAACUAUCAAGAACGAAGUAAUCUUUUACUUUGGUUAAAGGCCCUUUUUCUGAGAAAGGAGAAUAGGAAUGAAAUAAAAUAGAAAUAGAAAGAAAAGAAUCUAAUUGCAAAAGCAAAAAGGGGGGAUGUCUUUUUUUUUCUUACUUUUUUCUUUUUUUGUUUUUAUUCUUUCUUUCCUAUAAUUCCAUUUUGAUUUCUAGUUCGAGAGAGAAAUUUUUUGUCAUGAUUCAUGAACUAAUGGACUCUCUAAUUUUUUUCGUAAUUGAGAAUUCGAGGUUGAAAUGUAUAUGUGAUAUUGCUAUAAAGCGCAUUUUAUUUAAUGAUAAGGUUAUUAAUCAACAAAGAAAAAUGAAAAUUCUUAAAAGAUGAGAUCAAUUCAGAAGCCCGUAUUUAUUAGUUUUAAAUAUAGCAGACAGAAUUCCAUUGGUCUAAUUUGGGACCUUAGGAUAGAUUUUUACUCUAUCUGACAAACAUAUCAAGAUAAAGAAUAGGAAAGGGUCCUUAGAUUUAUUUGUGACCUCUGAGGAGCCGUAUGAGAUGAAAAUCUCACGUACGGUUCUGUAAUAGCGAUGGGCACAGUGAUGUUAUCAUCGACUAUGAUUA
rnacentral:ncRNA from 11 species